GACGAACGCUGGCGGCGUGCUUAACACAUGCAAGUCGAACGAAGUGGCGAACGGGUGAUUAACGCGUAAUCAACCUGCCCUUCAGAGGGGGACAACAGUUGGAAACGACUGCUAAUACCGCAUACUUAAGGAGGGGAUUGCGUCUGAGUAGCUAGUUGGAGGGGUAACGGCCCACCAAGGCGAUGAUCAGGAGCAGGGCUGAGCGGAGGAACGGCCACAUUGGGACUGAGACACGGCCCAGACUCCUACGGGAGGCAGCAGUGGGGAAUCUUCCGCAAUGGACGAAAGUCUGACGAAGCAACGCCGCGUGAGUGAUGACGGCCUUCGGGUUGUAAAGCUCUGUUAAUCGGGACGCGGUACCGGAAUAGAAAGCCACGGCUAACUACGUGCCAGCCGCCGCGGUAAUAC
rnacentral:rRNA from 1 species